UACGUAGGGGGCUAGCGUUAUCCGGAAUUACUGGGCGUAAAGGGUGCGUAGGUGGUUUCUUAAGUCAGAGGUGAAAGGCUACGGCUCAACCGUAGUAAGCCUUUGAAACUGGGGAACUUGAGUGCAGGAGAGGAGAGUGGAAUUCCUAGUGUAGCGGUGAAAUGCGUAGAUAUUAGGAGGAAUACCAGUUGCGAAGGCGGCUCUCUGGACUGUAACUAACACUGAGGCACGAAAGCGUGGGGAGCAAACAGG
rnacentral:rRNA from 1 species